rnacentral:rRNA from 1 species
GACGAACGCUGGCGGCGUGCUUAACACAUGCAAGUCGAACGGAAAGGCCCUGCUUUUGUGGGGUGCUCGAGUGGCGAACGGGUGAGUAACACGUGAGUAACCUGCCCUUGACUUUGGGAUAACUUCAGGAAACUGGGGCUAAUACCGGAUAGGAGCUCCUGCUGCAUGGUGGGGGUUGGAAAGUUUCGGCGGUUGGGGAUGGACUCGCGGCUUAUCAGCUUGUUGGUGGGGUAGUGGCUUACCAAGGCUUUGACGGGUAGCCGGCCUGAGAGGGUGACCGGCCAAUUGGGGACGGGGUGACGGCCCAGACCCCUAGGGGGGGCAGAAGGGGGGAAUAUUGCACAAGGGGGGGAAGCCUGAUGCAGAAACGCCGGGGGGGGGAUGCGGGCCUUGGGGUGGUAAACCGUUUUCCCCUGGGACGAAGGGGGGGUGACGGUAAUGGGUAAAGAAACACCGGCUAACUACGU